AGGACGAACGCUGGCGGCGCGCUUUAUGCAUGCAAGUCGAACGGACCUUCGGGCCAGUGGCGGACGGCUGAGUAACGCGUAGGCAAUCUGCCCAGUGGUGGGGGAUAACUCGCCGAAAGGUGAGCUAAUACCGCAUAAGUUCAGUGGUUGAAAUACCACUGAGGAAAGCAGCAAUGCACCACUGGAGGAGCCUGCGUCCUAUCAGGUAGUUGGUGGGGUAACGCCUACCAAGCCGAUGACGGGUAGCUGGUCUGAGAGGACGACCAGCCAGAAGGGGACUGAGACACGGCCCCCACUCCACGGGAGGCAGCAGCAAGGAUCUGGGCAAGUGGACGAAAGUCAGACCCAGCGACGCCGCGUGAGGAUGAACGGCCUUCGGGUCGUAACCUCGUUUGGCGGGGAAG
rnacentral:rRNA from 1 species